UUUAUGGAAAUUUUGUUAUAUUGAUGGUAAUUUAUUAUUUCAUCUUUAAUUUUUUUUCCGCUUCGUUUCUUCCCGAUCGAGAAAACCACAGCGACCUCACAAACGCUCCUCCUCUAAAAAAAAACGAAGGGGAUUCUCGUAAAUUGGAUGAAACAAAUGGUGACAGCGAAUCCUACUUUCCUCAUCCCUCGGUCCAUUCUAACUCCAACAAAUUCACGCAACUUCUGUGCUCAUUCUCCCUGAUCGCCUUCGUCCGAUUCUAACCUAUGCUUCCCCGUCGUCAAUCGCCAUCCAUGGAAAUCCUUCGGAUGGAUACAGAAGAAACGUUGACAUCUGUCUCAUCAAUUCUUCCAAAAAGGUUGCUCGGGAUAUAGAUAUAAUAUCAUCACAAUAUGUUGUCAUCUCAUCAGAAGGUUAAUCCAAAAUGAGUGAUUGUUGGAGGAUAAUUCCUCAUUAAAUGUGCUUCUUGUUUUGUCAACCUCCACAAUUUUCUCAUUUGUUUUCAUAGAUUUUGUUGAAUUAGCUGAUUGAUAUGAAAUGCAGGUUAUGUUAAUAACAACAUGUUUUUUAAUAGGUGGUUAAAAGGGGUGGAAUGGUUUGUUAGCAUCUAUCAAGUUUAGAAUCUGAAUAAACGUUUAUUCUUUUUGGUUAAAUGCAUUAAAUAACAAUGUACUCUCAUUGGUUAAUAAUGUAUUACUAAUAUAUUAUAGCAUAACACUUUCAUUUA